GGCGUGGCCGAGUGGUUAAGGCGAUGGACUGCUAAUCCAUUGCUCUUUGGUUAGUAAAAUCUCCACCAAAUCCUGUCCUCCUUCCGUCAACUUACCCUUCCCUUCACCCCUUCCCCUAAAGAGCGCGAGAGUUCGAAUCUCUCCGCC
rnacentral:tRNA from 1 species